rnacentral:tRNA from 1 species
GGAGAUAGGCCAUGGCUCAGUGGCAGAGCAUUUGCUCAGCAUGCAUAAAAGUCCCAGGUUCAAUGCCUAGCAUCUCCC